rnacentral:rRNA from 1 species
UACGUAGGUGGCAAGCGUUGUCCGGAAUUAUUGGGCGUAAAGCGCGCGCAGGCGGUCCUUUAAGUCUGAUGUGAAAGCCCACGGCUCAACCGUGGAGGGUCAUUGGAAACUGGGGGACUUGAGUGCAGAAGAGGAUAGCGGAAUUCCACGUGUAGCGGUGAAAUGCGUAGAGAUGUGGAGGAACACCAGUGGCGAAGGCGGCUUUCUGGUCUGUAACUGACGCUGAGGCGCGAAAGCGUGGGGAGCAAACAGG